AUACAGAGGGUGCGAGCGUUAAUCGGAAUUACUGGGCGUAAAGCGCGCGUAGGCGGCUUGGUCAGUCGGAUGUGAAAGCCCCGGGCUCAACCUGGGAAUGGCAUUCGAUACUGCCAGGCUAGAGUAUGGGAGAGGGAAGUGGAAUUUCCGGUGUAGCGGUGAAAUGCGUAGAUAUCGGAAGGAACACCAGUGGCGAAGGCGACUUCCUGGCCCAAUACUGACGCUGAGGUGCGAAAGCGUGGGGAGCGAACAGGAUUAGAGACCCCAGUAGUCC
rnacentral:rRNA from 1 species